CAGCGACAACCUUUUUUUACCAAAUUAUCUCCUCUCCACUGCUACACUCCACUCCACUAGCUCGCCAUUUGAGAAGCUUCGAGCUCACACAGAUCCCAGUUACUAGUGGUACUGGAGUACCUCACUCUCACCACACUCCCUUCGUCCCUUUCUCCUCUCUCACCAACUCAAAGCUCUCGCCGAAUCCCACCCAAAGAUCCAAACCCUUUUCCAUCCAAGAACGCGAGAAUCCACCCACCCACCCCGCCGACGCCCGGCGAUGGGCGCCUUCGCGGCGGCGCUGCUGGCCCUCCUGCUGGCCGCGAUGGCCGCGCCCCCGGCGGAGGCGGCGGUCGGGGUGAACUGGGGCACCCUGUCGUCCCACCGCGUCCCGCCGCCGGUGGUGGUGGACCUGCUCCGCGCCAACCGGAUCGGGAAGGUCAAGCUCUUCGACGCCGACCCGGCCGUGCUGCGCGCGCUCGCCGGCAGCGGCCUCCAGGUCAUGGUCGGCGUCACCAACGCCGAGCUCGCCGCCGUCGCGGGAUCCCCCGCCGCCGCCGACGCCUGGGUCGCGCAGAACGUCUCGCGCUACGUCGGCCGCGGCGGCGUCGACAUCCGAUACAUUGCCGUGGGAAAUGAGCCGUUCUUGACGAGCUACCAGGGUCAAUUCCAGUCAUAUGUUAUUCCAGCAAUGACAAACAUUCAGCAAUCGCUGGUGAAGGCUAAUCUUGCUAGCUAUGUGAAGCUUGUUGUCCCAUGCAAUGCUGAUGCUUAUCAGAGUGCUUCUCUCCCAUCACAAGGAGUUUUUAGGACUGAACUGACUCAGAUAAUGACCCAGCUCGCCGCUUUUCUCAGUUCUAGUGGAGCGCCAUUUGUGGUCAAUAUAUACCCUUUUCUCAGUCUUUAUCAGAGCUCUGACUUUCCACAAGAUUAUGCCUUCUUCGAGGGAUCUACUCACCCGGUUGUAGAUGGUCCUAACACAUACUACAAUGCUUUUGAUGGCAACUUUGACACAUUAGUUGCUGCGCUGGGUAAAAUUGGAUAUGGACAGCUACCGAUUGCAAUUGGUGAAGUUGGCUGGCCAACUGAAGGAGCACCGAGUGCAAACUUAACUGCAGCAAGGGCAUUCAACCAAGGUCUUAUGAAUCGUGUUAUGAACAACAAAGGAACUCCGCUUCGUCCUGGUGUACCUCCAGCUGAUGUCUAUCUUUUCAGCCUUUUUGAUGAAGAGCAAAAGAGCAUACUACCUGGAAACUUUGAGAGACACUGGGGGAUCUUCUCAUUUGAUGGACAAGCCAAGUACCCAUUGAAUCUUGGUUUAGGGAAUCCGGUACUUAAGAAUGCUAGAGAGGUGCCAUAUCUUCCAUCACGGUGGUGCAUCGCAAACCCUGCCCAGAAUCUUGAUAAUGUUGCAAAUCACUUAAAGCUUGCUUGCUCUAUGGCUGAUUGUACCACACUCGACUAUGGAGGUUCCUGCUAUGGCAUUGGAGAGAAGGCCAACGUUUCUUAUGCUUUCAACAGCUACUAUCAGCAACAGAAGCAGGAUGCUAAGAGUUGCGAUUUCGAUGGGAAUGGGAUGAUAACUUACCUUGAUCCAUCCAUGGGCGAGUGUCGCUUUCUUGUUGGAAUUGAUGAUAGUAAAAGCUCUGCAGUUUCCUCCUGUGGCUGCGGUUGUGGGGUUUGUUGUGGGGUGUGGGUUCUAUUUUUCUGGGUGUUCAUGUACCUUAGAAUGAUGGGUUCUGUCUGACGUCGAAAAUGAUCUGUUAGGACACAUCGGCAUACUUUCUGUGGCCUUGUGUUAUAGAAGCGCGACGAUGGCGGUGGAGUAGGAGGGCAGCAGUUUUCGCCACAGUAGGCAUGGCCACAGGUCACCUUUGGAUGCUGCACCAGCCAGCAGCACCUGCAAGCUGAAAAGAAAUGUUUCCAAGAUGAAGCUCAUAAAAUGGACAUGACAUGAUGCUAACAUGCCAACAGCAGAGGAGCAUGACUCUCUACUGCCAGCUUGCAAUAUUACCACAAAAGAAUCAAACUUCCAAUGAAGAGAGCAUCUAACUGACAUUAUGAUUGACAUGUUUAUAUUUCUGGAACACUUAUAGAAAAAAAAUCCAAUAGAUGAAUAAACAGGAAAUUUCCUAAUAUAUGACAUACGCAGCGAUGCAGUGGCGGUGGUGAUGAAGAGUGCAAGCAGCAUGAGCCAGGACACAAGGGCAAGAACAGUGUUCCUCCUCAUGUUUCUUUCUUGUUCUCUCCUCUCUUGAUGCUUCAGAAUGCAGAGCUUUCAGGAGAUCUCUAAGCAAAUAUGGCAGUGAUCUGCGGUGUAUAUAUAUUGUAAAGGAUGACCGAGUUAGCAUUUGUAAGUGAUGUGCCAUACCUGAAAUUUGUUGAUAA